UACAGAGGUCUCAAGCGUUGUUCGGAUUCAUUGGGCGUAAAGGGUGCGUAGGCGGCGCGGUAAGUCGGGUGUGAAAUCUCGGAGCUUAACUCCGAAACUGCAUUCGAUACUGCCGUGCUUGAGGACUGGAGAGGAGACUGGAGUUUACGGUGUAGCGGUGAAAUGCGUAGAUAUCGUAAGGAAGACCAGUGGCGAAGGCGGGUCUCUGGACAGUUCCUGACGCUGAGGCACAAAGGUCAGGGGAGCAAACGGG
rnacentral:rRNA from 1 species